CCCUUAGAUGUCCUGGGCCGCACGCGCGUUACACUGAUGCAUUCAACGAGCUUAUAACCUUGGCCGAGAGGCCUGGGCAAUCUUGUUAACGUGCAUCGUGAUAGGGAUAGAUUAUUGAAAUUAUUAAUCUUGGACGAGGAAUUCCUAGUAAACGCAGAUCAUCAAUCUGCAUUGAUUACGUCCCUGCCCUUUGUACACACCGCCCGUCGCACCUACCGAUUGGAUGGUCCGGUGAAGCCUCGGGAUUGUGGUUCUUGCCGCUUUAUUGUGGCGUGACCGCGAGAACUUGUCUAAACCUUAUCAUCUAGAGGAAGGUGAGGUCGUAACA
rnacentral:rRNA from 1 species